rnacentral:rRNA from 1 species
UACGUAGGGGGCAAGCGUUGUCCGGAAUUAUUGGGCGUAAAGAGCUCGUAGGCGGUCUGUCACGUCGGCUGUGAAAUCCCGAGGCUCAACCUCGGGCCUGCAGUCGAUACGGGCAGACUAGAGUUCGGUAGGGGAGACUAGAAUUCCUGGUGUAGCGGUGAAAUGCGCAGAUAUCAGGAGGAACACCGGUGGCGAAGGCGGGUCUCUGGGCCGAAACUGACGCUGAGGAGCGAAAGCGUGGGGAGCGAACAGG